rnacentral:rRNA from 1 species
UACGUAGGGUCCAAGCGUUGUCCGGAAUUAUUGGGCGUAAAGAGCUCGUAGGCGGUCUGUCGCGUCGGCUGUGAAAGCCUGGGGCUCAACCCCGGGCCUGCAGCCGAUACGGGCAGACUAGAAUUCGGUAGGGGAGACUGGAACUCCUGGUGUAGCGGUGAAAUGCGCAGAUAUCAGGAAGAACACCGGUGGCGAAGGCGGGUCUCUGGGCCGAUAUUGACGCUGAGGAGCGAAAGCGUGGGGAGCAAACAGG